GGUAUAUAUAUGGAUAUUUUGGGUUGAGAAACAGAGGCUUCUGUUCUGCAUGUUUUUAUGUACAUAUUUAACUGUACUUAUCAGUGUCAUCCUGGGACGGUGCUUCUUCCUCAGAACUUCAGUGACAUAAAAAAAGGGCAGUGCUUUUAAUGUAAGCCUUUGCUUUAUUCUCCCCAAACUUACAGUGCGAAGAUACUGCUUUAAAUAAACGGAAUGGAUAAUUAAACACCAGAAUCUAGUUAAGAAAAGCAUUUGAACUCUUUGUAAGGUACUCCAGAUAUGGUCAGCACCAGUGAAAAUUAGAUUGUUUCAGUAACGUUCUACAAAGUUGAAAUGCAUUUCAAUGGAAUCAUCACAAGAAAAAAAACCAACUCAUUUUGGAGACUAUUCAUAAAGUUUAUGAUUUUGCUCUGUAAUAUGAAUGAAAUGAGCUAUGCAUCAUUUUCAAAAUACUUUUUUAUAAUGCCACAGAAUUAUAAAAACUGGGGAAAUUAUUCAUCUGUCUUUUGGUUUUUAUAUAUGCAAAGAACAAUACCCUUAAGCUUAUUAGGUUUUCGUAUAGGUGGGAAUAGAUGCUGGCUGUGCAUCAAGCUAAACUGCUAUUGAACGCAGUAUUGCAGAAAACAAGGUGGGACAAAAGUAAAGCCUAAACCAAGUUCAGGGUUAUUCUGUAAUAAUGCUUAUGAUGUCUAAAAUACAGAUAUUGAGAGAAACAAGGAUAUUUUUCCCAUGAAUCGUUGAACAGGACUAUUAUUCUCAGCACAGCCUCCCAUACUAGGACGGAACUGCUUUUUCUUCGAAGAAUAAACAGAAUGCUGCAUCUGAAGAGUAAGGAGGUAAGGCACUUGAGAUUGUUCUUUCAGGAAGCAGUUAAAAGUAAUUUCAAUGACUUGUAAUGAAUGCAAAUAUACAAAAAUACUUGAUUUAUUAUGCAUCGUGAAGUCUUAAAUGGUUUAUAUCAGUUCCCGCUUGUUGGUUUUUUUUUCCUUUUUAUUACAUGGGUGGAAUUUCUGAUAGUAUUCAGCUCUGCUUUCUAAAUGUGUUUUCACUGAAAUCAGUGAGCUGACCUGAGUGGGAAUAAAGGGUGGUUUAUCUUUAGUGAGACAAAGUUAAGUCAUCACUAAGUAAUUUUGAAAUCCCAUCCUUGAAAUACUGGGGCUUUGACAUUCAGUGGGAUGAGAAUCUCAGAACAGACUGACUACUGUGGACUCCCAGGCUACGGCUCAGGCAAAUAACUUCUUUGGAGGAGGAUCUGAAAGGUUUCUUCUUUUCUAAAUUAUGAUCAUUAAGAAGCAAAGGAUGCAACUUAAACUGUGAAGAUUUUCCUCUUACAUUUAAAAUAGAUUUGCCUGUACCUGUGAGAGGUCUAUUAGUUCUAGUUGGAGCAUUAUACAAUUAUCUAAUGAUUCAGAGGUACUGUUUCUAAAGAGAUCUUCUUUACCACCAUAGAACAUGAAUCUCUAGUUCCACUCACAGUGAUUUUAUCUUGUUUUCCAACACGUAGCCAGAAGUAAGAUUCUAGUUCUGCUACUGCAAUUUCCAUUUUGCAAAGACAGAGAUGUCUUGGUAAUGCAUGCAUAAUUUAGAUAUAAUAGCUUCUCUAUUGGAAUAAGUGUUAGGGGCUCUGUUCAGAUGAUGGAAUUAACUUGAUUUGUUUCGUGUUCCUGCUGGUCUCUACUUUCUCCAGGUAGCUCAGCUGUUUGAGUGCCAACAGCCCAAUGUAGUUUGUAACCAGAGCUGUAAAGUCACCUGGAAUUGGUGCUACUUUACUUUUAUUUCCACUCUUGUAAAGUAGUGAAGCAGGUGCUGCUACUGCAUUAGUGGAGGCGGGGAACUUGGAGAAGAACUGAGUGUGCCAUGGGAAUGUGAACUGUUACAGUCAUCUCCUGUAAUCAGUCCUACCUUAUCAUCUGGGGUCUUCUGUCACUCUGUUUUGGUGUGAGAUGGGGAGGGGCUGGGCAGAGGAGAAAUUGAAAAUGAUUCUGUAAUUGGUAGGGAAAAAAAAAGCUAGAAAUGUUCUUUCUGGAAAAAACUUUUUUUUUUUUUAAACAUGAUGUGCUUUUUUUUUUUUAAGUCAUUAAAUCAUUAAUGCUUGGGGAUUUGUUUAUUCAGGAUUUACUCAGUGUCAGUUACGGACUUACUUCCUUGCUUUCUUCAAAAACAGAAAGAUGCUUUAAAGGAUAAGGACUUUGAAAUGAAGAAUAAAAAAGGAGAAUGUUUUAAGAAAAAGGUGUUUAUAAUGGACCAAAGAAAUACAUAUGUUAUCUUUUAAAAAAUAUUUAACUCGAGUGAAGCUCCUGUAUUGCAAGCCUCAAGACCCAGGUAAGAGAAGUUUCUCUGAGAAAGGGGAGAGGAAGCUAAUUGUUUUCCAAAGAGAAAUGGGACUAAGAUAUUCUGUAGUACUUAUACAUCAGCGUGUUGGGCACAGAAAUUGCUAUGCACACAAGUCAUAGAUAUAGCGCUGAUACUAUGCUUCUAACUUAGUGUGCUAAUGAUAGAGAAGUCGCCGGCUGUGAGAUCUGAUGUUAAGCCCUGAGGUGAGUUACCCAGUGACAACAGUACUGGAUGCCACACAACACUCUCUGAAGGUUUCUGUUCCUAGCAUUAUGACAUUGUUUUAAGAACAAAAAGGUGUCCUGAUCAUCAGCAUCCGGCUUAAAUACUGCCCUCUUGGAUCUCACUGUGUUAAUGUUAUCAUAUUGAACUGGAUGGUUAAGUUUUCAGAGAAGAAGACUGUUUUUCCUUAUCUGAAGUCUGACUAUGGGAGUUUCAGGGUCUUCAAAAGAGGACAUCUCAUUCCUGGUGUGCUUGCCAAGAAGAGGUUAUGAAGACUGCAUAGUGUCUUGAAAAAUGAACUUUGUUAUCCUGCUACAGAAUGGGUAAUUGUAUGUGUUAGGCAGUACAGGUUCCUGAUUGCUUGGUUUAACUCUAUGGAGUUAGUCUAAAGUACCAUGCUUCUUGCAAAAAUAGUAGAGGUUGAAGCACAGCAGAGGGAAAGAACUAGUGAGUAUACUGUAGGUCUUUUUCUUGGGUUACAGACCAAGUUAUGGAAUGCCAUCUUCCAAGAUAGAAACACUACUUGGCAUCAGAUGAGGACUUUGAUCAGCACUCCAAGGAGGGAUAGUCAGCAGUAUGAAUUUUAUUCUGUGCAGCACUUUAAGUACAGCAGAGACCUGGCACUGAGACUCCAGAUGCCUUGAAAGACCUUGUGCUUCACAUGAAGACAGUCUUAAAUUCAUGGACAAUGUAUUUCAGUUUGUAGAUGGAUGAAGUGCCCCAUGCUUUGGUUUGUUAAUGGCCAUGGUUGGAAACAUCUUUUUGCUAAAUUCUACAAGUUAUUUUCAUGACUGUUGCUGGAAUUUAUUUACUCUGUAGUUUGUUCGUGAAGAUAUUCACAGUUCUUUAAGCCCUGUCUGUCUUGACACGUACCUGUUUGUUCCUAAACAUCAAAUGAGGUUGUUCACUCCUGAAUCUGAUCUGUUUCUGCUACUGCUUUCUCUUUCAUCCUGGUUUUAGAGAAACUGUCUUUCAUGGCAAUUUGCUGUGGACUAACUUCUUUAUUAGGCCAUUUAAUUCUGGAGAUAUUGGUCAUAUAUAUUAUUACCUAACAAUCUCAUUUACCAACAAAGGCCAAUUAAUAGUAGUAUCUUAUAGCCACGGGGGCACAAUGUGGGGCCAGAAGCAAUGUGAACUGAAUUUCCUAGUCAUAUUUUAUUUAGCAGAAUAUCUAUAAUAUUAAAUAUAAUAUUAAAUAUAGUAUAUAUUGAAGAUUAAUUUCACCUAAAUAAUAAUGAAAAUGGAACUCUGACAAUUGGAAAGAGAAACUUGACUGAGGGAUUUUGGGGAAAAAAGCUUUGGCAUCUACAUGAAGAAAAUAUAUUCCUCAUUUUUUUCCAGAAGUUCACUGGAGAUUUUUACUCAUAGUUUAAAGAAAUGUUCAGAUGUCCAAAGGAGCAGUGCAGGUGACUUGAAAGCAAUAACUUAUGGUAUCACACUCUUCAAGAUGCUUUGUAUCAGUGUCUUGUCUCGCUUUCCUGAUGUGCAAAUGAAGCUUGUCCAAUAUGUGUUACCCCAGAAAGAAUUAAGAUAAUUGAAGUCAGAAUAUCUGAACUUGGAUCGCUUGCAAGUAAGGAUGAUCUGCAUGCACAUGUUCUGUAAAGAUAAUGGUGAACAGAUCCAGAUGAUUCCUGAUUUAAAGCUACAGAAGAGGGAGUAAUCCUGAUUCCUAUAUUAAAAGGAGGGGAAUUUCAUGAUGGGGAGAAGACUGAGAAUGUGUGUAACCUUUCUGCUCUGAGGCUGGAAGUACUGAAGAAUGGACAUGAGCCAGAGACACGAACAGGAAGAGCCAAAAGCCUGAGGGACCUUUGGCCAUUCAGAGAACAUUCACCAGCUUUAACUAGCUGUUCUCUGUCCUAUGCUUGUUGACUGUUCCACUCGCUUUCUGCCUCUUUACUUCUGCUUCAAUCCUGUUUGCACUGCAUGCUUUUUUUCCCCCAAUCUGCCCUUCUUCGUGCUUUUUAAAGUUUUUUGUUUGGCUGACUUUUUUUUUUUUUUGCUUUUUUUGUUUGUUUCAAUGGGUGGCUUUUAACUGCCCUAUGUUUGUGUGCUCUCUGACAAAACAGAACUUCCGUUUUCAUAAGUCUUCAAGUAUGAUUAAUGUUCCUUCGUCCUGCUUUUUGUAAGGAAUCACUUGAAGGCAAACGAGUACCCUUAAUGAGAUGAGAUGAUGUGUAUGAGGUUUAACGGGAUAAGGGAACCUUUGCUCCUGCAGAUUUUCUGUAGGUGAACUAGAGAUUUAGAAGAGCAGAUGUUGAAACAUCUAUACAUCCUUCUAUUCAGGAAAAAAGUCUAUAACUUUAUUACAGUCCAACAUGCUAUGUAUGAUGAACAUUUCAGAAUGGAUAUUACGUUGACUAUAUUUGCAUUGUACAUGCAGUUGUUGGCAAUUUUUUGGUUUGUUUUCCCCAUUUCACAGCUCUUAAAUUUGCUUUUAGAGACCGUUUUGGUAGGUGUAGGUUGCUUGUCUGAAAUCUGUUCUGAAGCUUCAGUGCAAAGCAAGCGCAGCACUGAUGAUGGAUGUGAAUGGACAUCUUAAGGAUAACUGGAUGUGGCAUCUUCAGAAACAGUGGCGUUUUGGUGGGCGGAAGAGAUAAUCCAGCCUGCCAAGUGCUAUGCACUCGUUCCAGUGCCAAAAUACAAAACACACCAGCAGCUUUAAUGUAGUUUUUUAAACUGCUGUGCUUCAAUGGGCUGUUGCAGUAACUUGGGAUGAAGAAGUUAGGCUGCUCACCAGUUUGUUUUGCCAGGCUGAUCCUCCAUGGCAAGUGUUUGGUUAUUUAUUUGGGCUGUUUGUAUUAAAACCAGGUUCUAGAGGGGAAAGGAAAAAAAAAUGAGGGGUGCACCCUUCUCCAUUUUAAAACCCCUCAAAUUCUGAAGGAUGAAAUCAAUUAAGAAAAACCUCCUUUGCGGUUUCCACAUCAGAGGUAUCUUUUCUGUAGUUGCAGUAGUUGUAAAAAUGAAGGCUGGGACGUUACCUGUCUCUUUCUGCUGAUCUUUCCUAAGGUGACUGGUACUGAGUGGUAUUGCUUCAAAUCAGUUGCAAGUGACUGACUUGUAAAAGAGCUGGUUGGCAUCUAGUGCUUAAUUUUUCCAUUCCUAAACCAUUUUAGUGAUAAUAACUUCAUUUGUGACACUCCACUUCCACUAGUAGGUGGAAGCUCGAGGGGGAAAAUGUUAUAGUUCUUUCACAAUUCAUUAGUUUGUGGAUGUUUCUGUUAUGUUGUUUCCACACAGAGUGACUCAUAGCUAAAUGAACACAGCAGCCUAAAGGCGUGCCCUCACUGCUGCGGCCCACAGUGAAACUUGAUGCCAUUAUAUAUAUAAGGAGGAUGCUCAGACGUGUUUGAAUCCUUGAGAAAUUGCAUGCACAUUGGACAUGUGUACUAUCAAACACUUCCUCAGCGUAGUUUAUUUCAAGAAGUUGUGUUUUACCCUGAUUGCUCUUUUUUACACAAUUAAUUUAGCAAGUUGUUGGCAACAUCUUGGCAACAUCUGUCUUGUGAGUGUAAGUUAGAGCUGAGAAACUGUGUCUUUGUCUUGUAAAGCAGUACGGUUUCAGUGUAUUCACUUCUGAACUAUUUGAGAAGAGAUUAUGGAAGUACUUGCAUUGCCACAUUGUUUUUGUAAUGAUUUAGACAGAUUCAGAAGUGUUUCUGUCAAGUUGAUAGGAUGCAAACACGAAUUAUAGUGAACCAGUUGGCCUCUGGUUAUCCCAGCUCUCCUUGCACUGCAGAUUGCUUACCAAUUCUUUCCUUGUUUAACAAAAAUGUCAAAAAAAGAAGCAUCUUUACCUAUUGACAUGUCACGCAUCAUCAUUUGUGUUACAGAAGUUUUGUAUUGGAACUCUGCACAAAGCAGAUCUAAAACUGCUCUGGGGUUCCUGUCCUACAUUCCUUACACCUCUCUUACCCUGCAUUCUGGUACCUCAAUUGCAAAAUGCAAACAUUGAGAGUAUUAAAUAAAACGUGUACUUUUUUUGUUGUUGUUUUGAAUCUUUAGGUGCUGCCAGUGGUGAUGGUGUGCUGUUUUGUGUAUGUGUGCAUGUGUUGGUUGUUUGUUUCUCCAGGUGUUAAACAGCAGUGUUAACUAAAAGCUGCCAUUGUUUGUAUAUAGAAAAUACAUACAUAGCUCUGUGUUUGUUCUCUGGGUGGCAGAGCUAUGGAUUUGAUAAUACUGAGACAAAUUAUACAGUAAAUACACUGUGAGUGAGGUACCUUUAAUUUAUUGGUCCUAUUCAACUAGGCUUGCUAUGUGCCAAAGCAAACAAACAUGUUUAUAUUAAAGAGUUGUCUUGCCAUAAGAUUUUCACUUCAUGCUUCUCACAGCUGUACACCAUGUCAGCUUUUCUGUGGAUGUCCAUAUUUGUUGUCAGGAGGAGAUGUCUGUGCUUACCUAACUGUGAUUCUGCUGACACAGAUCUGAUCUCCAUCCCUCUUCUGGUUUGUAGAGGCUGUAAUGUGUUAAUGAGAACUACACGCAGUUACCAACAAAAGCUGCCACAACUUCCAUGGAAUACACUGGAAGACAAUAAGAGCAGCAAUGUCAAUCCUGUUUCAAAUUCCAGCACCCCAGGCCAAGUCAUCCUGGGUCACUUAAGGAUGUCUCACUAGGAGAGUAUAGGAGGAAUAAAGCUGUAACAGAAUGCUGCUGUUUGAUCUUCAAGUAGCAUUGAAGCAUAGGCAGGGGAGUGACUAUCAAAAUGAAAAUACAUCAGAAAUUGCCACUUGGGCAGUUCAGGAGAGGAGAGUGUUGCUGCCAACGAAUCAGGCCCCAUUCCCCUUUCAAUAAGCAUAAGUAGCAGCAGGAUGCCAGAAAUGGGCAUGCUGUUGUGUUCCAUCCACAUCUGUAAGCACGAACCCAGGCUGCUCUGCCUGUGGUGCUCUCAGUUUGUGGGUCUCUAGUUUGUUGAGAUCCCUCCUCCUUUGCCAGCAGGGGUCCUGGAGCCUUGCUGCAGCCUGGGCCCUUUUAGCCCAUUCCCUUUCCACCUGUUUCAGAGCUGCUUUUUUCUCCUGUACUGCGUGCUGAAGAUGCAGAGCUCUGUGGUUACGUUGAGGGGCUGUGAUGUGAGACUGUCUGUGUGGGCUGUGUAGAAGUGCAGACAGGCUCAUGUCAGGUGCUGAAUGUUCUGACCUUCUCCUUUCUGCGUGGAACCAUUAAGCCCUUUUGUCCCGGGCAGCACUUCCACCCAAGGCUGUACGCUGCGCUGCUAUUCACCCAGCAUACACAGGCGUGUUCAGGUCAGGUUCCUCUCACUUGCAUCAGUACCAGAGGCAAUGUUGAUUUGGGCCGGCCAGCAGUGCCAUCAGCAGAAUAGCACCGCAGUGCUGAGGGAUGGGGAAAGAGAGCAUGUAGCCUGUUCCAGCCAUCAACCUGUUGGACCAACAGCUGUCUGUAGGUUUGAGCUGUGUUUGUGUAUAGGAUGCCCUCGUGUUACUGCAGCGGGUUAGAUCUUCCCUUGAAGUGUACAGUGCCAGAUGUUCUUGUUUAAGAAUACACUUUGGCUGAUGGCAAAAUAACUCCUGCUUGAUGCCUCCGUGCUAUGUGCUCUGCAAGUUGGGUGCUCUGUGCUGAUGCUACUGCAGUGAAUCCUGAUGGAAUCCUCUUAGCUCAAUAUUGAAAACAAGAUGUUAAGAAUAAAAGAGUUCUGGUCAUUAAACUGGAAGUAAUGUGAAGCGGGAGCUGAUUGAUAACCUGACACUUGGCUUCUGUAGCACCUGCCUCAAAGUAAUGGCUCCUUACACUGUACAUUAAUCACGAAGAAGUUCAGAAAUGCCUCAUUCCAUCCAGAAACUUUUAUUAUGAAGUAAAUAGCUUUCAUAGUAUUGGAAUGAGCACAUAUAUGUCUUUAAUAAAAAUGUCUUCAUAUCCAAAUGAGGUUAGUUUACACCUCUUUUCCCAUGAGUUUGUUCUGUUGUAAUUGUCUUCCUUCCCUUUAAAAGGGAAAAUUGGCAUGGAACAGCUUUGCAGGUAAAUGUGGAGCAGCUUUGCAGGUAAAUGUGCAGUGGAGUAUAUUUUGAAAUAUUCAAUACAUAUUUUUAAGCUUCAUCUAGAAAAGCAAAAAAUGUCACUUUUAUUUUAGAAAGAGGCUGCAAAUUGCCAAUGAGGUGUAUCAUUGAAAUGAUCACAGGCAAAAGCUGUUAAUUUGGCAACCACUGGUUUGCAAAACAGAACAAAUUAAGGAGGUUAAGUGUUACGUUCCUAUUUCCUACUAUUGAAUAGUCUGCUUUGGGAACACAAAUGAAAGGUAUGUUGCCUUUUGGACUCACAAAUUGUAUACUGCUUUUCUGCAACCUGUUGCCUUUCUUUUAUGCCUGCCAGCUUUCCUGUCAAUGUGGACAGUAAGGUCAUCUCGAACCCACAGCUUCACUACACACAGUCUGUUUAACUGUUCACUGCGUACCAGCUUCAUUUUCUCGCCAAGAAAGAGUUCCCAGGCUAUCUUUCUAGUUCUCUUUUCUAUGUUAUUGUCUUCUUAAGUCUCCAUUUGUUCCCUUUAUUGCACCGUGGAUUGCUUCAGACAUUUAUUAUUGCCCUAUUUACCUGACCCAGCCACUUAUUAAACCGUGAAGUCUUAUCCCUGCUUUGGCAUUGCUGGAAGUCUCUUCUUAGUAUUCCCCUGCAUAUUCCACCCUUGGCCACUCUUCUAAUAUUCCUUCACUUCACGUUCCCAUACAGUGUGGAAGAAGUGUGACUAGUGAUAGGACUAGAGGGAAUGGCUUCAAGCUGUGCCAGGGAAGGUUCAGGCUGGACGUUAGGAAAUACUACUUCUCUGAAAGGGUGGUCAGGCACUGGAAUGGGCUGCCCAGAGAGGUGGUGGAGUCACCGAGCCUGGUGGUGUUCAAAGUG
rnacentral:lncRNA from 1 species